rnacentral:snoRNA from 1 species
UUAGCACUUUCACAGGUCCUUCCCCAGGCUGUGGGGCCAGGAUUUGGUAGCUGGUGCUGAGAGAAACCUCUUGGGUGCACCCUUGCCCUGGGACUGUUCCAGUGGCAGUUGUCACUCAUUGGGACAGAG